AUGGUGGUGCUCCAAGUGUUCCAGACCAAGUUUCUCCACACCAUAGACGAGUCCAGCCAGAGUUCUGACGCCUUCAAAGAGCUGCACACAGCAACUGACUUGGCUCCGCGCACUGCUAAAGCCACCAUGCAGGCGAUCAACAAGGCCAUGGCCAAUUUGGUGGUGCUGGAACACCACCUUUGGCUGAAUCUAACUGACAUCAGGGAUGCUGACAAGGUUGCCUUCCUAAACUUGCCUGUCUUUUCCAAAGGACUGUUUGGCCCUGACGUGGAUGGGUUUUUGCCUAGCAGUUUACAGCACCACAGAAGUCAUUGCAGGCAAUGCGUCACUUCCUGCCAAAGCACUCCAGUGUGGUUUCAAGUCACCAAAAGCCUUCAUCUGCUCAGCAGCCUGCCAAGCCGGCGCUGCCUCAGCUCCAGAGUAACAUUGGACCCUGAGUCUCAGAAGCCUUUGGGUUCUAAAUAUCAUAGAACGAGCAAGCCACAAUGUACCUUCCACUCUGAUGCCCUCACAACGAGUUCAAUCAGAUGUCUUCCUUGGCUUAUGUCAUGCGUAUGUUACACACUCACUCUCUCUUUCUCACAAACACACCGGGGACACCUGCAUAUGUGUCUGCAUAUCUGUCUCUUGUGUGCAUUUGGAUCACAAUCUUUGGCCUUUUAUUAGCACUAACAGCAACACUGGGGAUCUGAAGCAGAAAUAUAAACUUGUCAGCUGUGCACUCAUAAAUAAAGGUUCUAAAAGGAAUUUUGGGUUCCCAAAAAGAAUGUUUCAGUGAAUAGUUCUUAAAAUAAUAUUUUGUACAUUGGAAAGGUUCCAUGGAUGUUAAAGGUUAUUCACAGAAAGACUGACAAAGAACCUAUACAGUAUCUUUAAAAACUGCAGUCACUGAGAUCUCAUCACCCUCUCCAAGCCCUCCGUACCAUAUGGUGUCAUAUUCAUAUAUUAUAUAAUACCCACAGCAACCUUUCUGAAAUGUAGACAAAAAGAAAGAAAAAAUUAUUACAAAAAAAAAAAAAACUGAGUACAUACACAGAAGGUGUCCUUCUCACUGUUGUAAAGAACCACCCAGAUUGGCUCACCGACGUAAUUCACCUCAUUUAUCAGGAUUUAGUUUCCAUUUAUUCUAGCUCCAUGUUCAAUCUGACUCCAAUUUCAAGUGAUCAUUAAUUAAAUUUAGGCUAACAGCAACACUGGGGAUCUGAAGCAGAAAUAUAAACUUGUCAGCUGUGCACUCAUAAAUAAAGGUUCUAAAAGGAAUUUUGGGUUCCCAAAAAGAAUGUUUCAGUGAAUAGUUCUUAAAAUAAUAUUUUGUACAUUGGAAAGGUUCCAUGGAUGUUAAAGGUUAUUCACAGAAAGACUGACAAAGAACCUAUACAGUAUCUUUAAAAACUGCAGUCACUGAGAUCUCAUCACCCUCUCCAAGCCCUCCGUACCAUAUGGUGUCAUAUUCAUAUAUUAUAUAAUACCCACAGCAACCUUUCUGAAAUGUAGACAAAAAGAAAGAAAAAAAUUAUUCAAAAAAAAAAAAAAACAAAACCACCGACGUAAUUCACCUCAUUUAUCAGGAUUUAGUUUCCAUUUAUUCUAGCUCCAUGUUCAAUCUGACUCCAAUUUCAAGUGAUCAUUAAUUAAAUUUAGGCAAUUUUUCUAAUUAAAAACUGAUCAAAAAUAUUGAUUGUUUAUUAAUGUAAAUAUUUGAUUAUUCUGGAAAUCCCAUACUUUCGAUUAUUCGUUCAUUAAAAACCUGAUAUCGCUUUGCAAAUCACUCGGCCAACAGUGAAAGCACGGACACAAACUAGCCAGUUCUGAUCUUACUCAGAGGAUACAGAGUGAUUAUAAUACCUUUAAGUGCUGCACCCUGCUAGCAAAUAAUAAAAAGUUUAUUUUUUCCUAUAAUCACUAAAACUGUAACUUGUUGAGCCAGUGACAGACAGAAAUCAGAAGAUCCCUAAUGACGAGCCUUCUGCUUCACUCAUUGGUACUUCAGUAUGUUCUAUCCUGGAUGCAAAUUUGUGGAAACACCAGACUAUGCUAUAAUCUACUAAAAUAAUAACUUCAGAAGAGAUCAGAAUAAAUCUAAUAUAACAAUUUAUUAUUAGUCAGGUAAAAUUGUAUCAUGCCAAUUACAUAAUUAAACAAUUAGAAGCCAAUUCAGAAUUAAAUUAAGUUUCAAUUCAGAUAAACACAACAUUCUCAGCAGUAGAACAGAAUUCUAUAAAAGUUUUCAGUUUUUCUCAUAAUAUAAGUGACUACUGUGAAAUUGAGACCAUUUUACCAAUCGCACAGAGACCUUUAGAAUGAUACCAAACAUGAAGGGGGAAAACAACAGAUUCACAAGAUACAUGAUAUGUGGUGGUGCAGUGGAGGCCCCCCAACACUGCAGGUUUUCCAUGUCUCCUUAAUCAAACCCACCUGAUUCAGAUCAUCAGCUCAUUAGUAGAGACUCCAAGACCUGAAAAGGAGAGAUGCAAAAUGUGCCGUGUUGGGGGCCUCCAGGAACGAGGUUGGGAACCACUGUGGUUGUGAAACCCUUUUGGGGGAAAGAGUACAAGUGAGAAGGAGAGGCAGAAAGGGGUGGGAAGGCAAGUGUUGUGUUCUACAGUGAGGGGCUACUGGAGGUUUGGGCAAGAUGAUGUAAUUUGCUCUUUUUGGAGCUCUCUUUUCCAGAUUAGUUUUACUGUUUUGUUGCAUAGCAUGUUUUGUGUUCCUGGCACUUUGGAUUCAUAAGGAAUUAAUUUCACUCUUUAUACUGUAGCCUAUUAGGGUGAUGUGGGACACUUUAGAUUUCUCAAAAGAGCAACAAUAUGUAAGUGCUGUGACAAGUCCCGGAUAGUCUAACGCAGUACGUGUUUUUUUUUUUUUUUGUUGUUGUUGUUGUUUUUAUAAAUAAAUAAAAAGAAAACAAGUAAAUAGAAUAGAAAGAUAAUAGAGAACACUAGUGUACCAUUUAGACAAAUCAGACCCUGCUAGAGACAAAGAGUCGUAAACUUUCCCUCCAGAAGUGCAAGUCACUAUUGGCUCUUUGACCCCCGAGAGGUGUGACCUCAAUAGAAGAUAAAGGCCUCACAUCAGUGACCCACCUUCAGUCUGUGGUUCUGUUAGAUUCUGAGAAGAUGAGGAUGUGAGCAAGAACUGUUCUGCAACCCUUAAGUCUGCACCAGGCUUCGGCCUUGUCUUUACAUUCACCAACGAUCCUUGGAUCUCACCUGAUGUCUCUCUUAGCUCUUUAUCACCUUCAUCUGGGAGAAAACUCUCCCAAUCACCACCGAGCCAGAAUAACAUCUCUUGGAGUUCAUUACCAUUCAAAACUGCAAGAAUGUGAAGAACUCCUACACCAACAAACCAUCAAAACAUUUAUUCGAGGCUGCAUCCGGACACUCGUUCAAUGACCAAGGCAAUGCAAGUAUAUCGUACACUUAAGUAAACGAAACAAGGGUUUAGGAUAUGUAAGCUGUAGACCCCGUCAUAAAACGGCACUGAUGGUUUCACUCAGGUGGUUAACUGACUCAUUUUCCAUAACUGCAUUCUCUGGUUUCUCUAACAGUUUCAGUCAUCCACUUCCAACCUCCCCAUGAAUGAGUGAUUUGUGUGAUUGUUUGUUUGUCUAGAUUAGUUAUGUGUUAGUGUAGUUUAUAAAACUAUUGUGCACAAAUUACAUGAGUUUCUUUUUCUGUUACUGCUUGUGAGUAGUGUCCAUUUUACAAUCCAAUCUAUAGCUACAUUCUCUAAUGCAUUACUGCAAGAAAGUUAUUUUCUGUGGCCAACUCAACUUUCUUAGAGUUGAUAUGAAAUUAUACUGAAUGUUCACUGGACGAACAGAUUAGUUGAUUGUAAUAUUAAUUCUACUACAGUUACUUCUGUCACUGUUAUGCUGCUGCGUUGGAAUGAGGAACAUGGAAUCGAAUUAGUGUCCACUUAACAAGCUUUAAUAAAUCAAAAAGCAGGGAACAUAGGGACCGCAGGAGACUCAAAAUGAUGUUACCACUGGACAAAGGAACUCAGGGAAGACAAGACUUUAAAUACACAACUUAACGAGGAACGCAAUGAGACACACCUGAAAUCAAUGAACACAAUCAACACGCGGGAGAAACUAU
rnacentral:lncRNA from 1 species